ACUAAGGGCUUGGGGGGGACUUAACAUGCAAGUCGAGCGGACCUUCGGGGUUAGCGGCGGACGGGUGAGUAAGCGUGAUUAAAGCACUUCUCUACGGAAUAGUCCUGGGAAACUGGGGGUAAUACCGUAUACGCCCUUUGGGGGAAAGAUUUAUCGGGGAAGGAUUAGCCCGCGUUGGAUUAGGUAGUUGGUGGGGUAAUGGCCUACCAAGCCGACGAUCCAUAGCUGGUUUGAGAGGAUGAUCAGCCACACUGGGACUGAGACACGGCCCAGACUCCUACGGGAGGCAGCAGUGGGGAAUCUUAGACAAUGGGGGCAACCCUGAUCUAGCCAUGCCGCGUGAGUGAUGAAGGCCUUAGGGUUGUAAAGCUCUUUCAGCUGGGAAGAUAAUGACGGUACCAGCAGAAGAAGCCCCGGCUAACUCCGUGCCAGCAGCCGCGGUAAUACGGAGGGGGCUAGCGUUGUUCGGAAUUACUGGGCGUAAAGCGCACGUAGGCGGACCGGAAAGUUGGGGGUGAAAUCCCGGGGCUCAACCUCGGAACUGCCUUUCAAAAACUACUGGUCUUGAGUUCGAGAGAAGGUGAGUGGAAAUUCCCGAAGUUGUAGAGGGUGAAAAUU
rnacentral:rRNA from 1 species